rnacentral:rRNA from 1 species
GGAAUCCCGUGUGAAUCGGCCCCGACCGUGGGGUAAGUCUAAGCAUACCUGUCUGACCGAUAGCGUACCAGUACCGUGAGGGAAAGGUGAAAAGCACCCCGGGAGGGGAGUGAAAGAGUUCCUGAAACCGUGCGCCUACAAUCCGUCGGAGCCUCCUUGUGGGGUGACGGCGUGCCUAUCGAAAAAUGAGUCUGCGAGUCAGUGGUGCGUGGCGAGGCUAACCCGUGGUGGGGGAGCCGUAGCGAAGGCGAGUCUCAAAAGGCGUUUUGAGUCGCGCGCCCUGGACCCGAAGCGGGAUGAUCUAGCCCUGGGCAGGUUGAAGCGCGGGUAAGACCGCGUGGAGGACCGAACCCACCUGGGUUGAAAACCGGGGGGAUGACCUGGGGCUAGGGGUGAAAGGCCAAUCAAAUUCCGUGAUAGCUGGUUCUCUCCGAAAUGCAUUUAGGUGCAGCGUCGGUUGAUUGCAUCGCGGGGGUAGAGCUACUGGAUGCUUGCGGGCCCGUGUCGGGUACCAAUAGCAGCCAAACUCCGAAUACCGUGGAUGUGUAUUCCGGCAGUGAGUCGGCGGGGGAUAAGCUCCGUCGUCGAGAGGGAGACAGCCCAGAUCGUCGUCUAAGGUCCCGAAGCGUGUGCUAAGUGGGAAAGGAUGUGGAGUCGCAUAGACAGCCAGGAGGUUGGCUCAGAAGCAGCCAUCCUUGAAAGAGUGCGUAACAGCUCACUGGUCUAGUGGUUCCGCGCCGACAAUGUAGCGGGGCUCAAGCACACCACCGAAGACGCGGCAGCGGCCUUUGCGGCCGUUGGGUAGGAGAGCGUCCCGCGUGGGGCGAAGCGGCCGGGGAACCGUGCCGUGGACCGCGCGGGAGUGAGAAUGCAGACAUGAGUAGCGAGAGACGGGUGAGGAUCCCGUCCGCUGGAUGACCAAGGGUUCCGGGGCCACGUUCGUCGUCCCCGGGUGAGUCGGGUCCUAAGGCGAGGCCGACAGGCGUAGUCGAAUGGAUGAACGGGUGGAUAUUCCCGUACCGGCGGCGUACCGUAAGAGCCGAACGGAUGAGUACUAACCUCCGGUCGCGUGGCGUCGUUCCCUUCGGGGUUCGGGGUCCGCGGUCGUUGGGAGCGUAGUCCCGGUAGGCUAGCGCACAGGGGUGACACGGAAUGGGAGCCGGCCGCGGAGGUGGUUUUCCGUGGUCAAGCACGCAGCCCGUCCCAUAGGCAAAUCCGUGGGACGCAUAGGGUGAGGUGUGAUGAUGGGCGUCCUUUGGACGCGAUAUCCGGUGGUCCAGGCCGUCGAGAAAAGCCUCGGCGCGAGGGGCGUCGCCGCCCGUACCCCAAACCGACACUGGUGGUCAGGUAGAGAAUACCAAGGCGAUCGAGCGAAUCCUGGUCAAGGAACUCGGCAAAUCACUCCCGUGCCUUCGGUAUAAGGGAGACCCCCGGGCGUGAAGAGGCUUGCCCUCGGAGCGUUGGGGGGUGGCACAGACCAGGGGGUAGCGACUGUUUACCAAAAACACAGGUGCAUGCGAAGGCGCAAGCCGCUGUAUAUGCACUGACGCCUGCCCGGUGCCGGAAGGUUAAGAGGAUCCGUCAGCCCCUUUUGGGGUGAAGCGGUGAAUUCAAGCCCCGGUAAACGGCGGUGGUAACUAUAACCAUCCUAAGGUAGCGAAAUUCCUUGUCGGGUAAGUUCCGACCUGCACGAAUGGCGUAACGACUUCCCCACUGUCUCGACCAGGAGCUCGGCGAAAUUGCAGUACGAGUAAAGAUGCUCGUUAAGCGCAGAAGGACGAAAAGACCCCGGGACCUUUACUAUACCUUGGUAUUGGCGUUAGGCGCGGAUUGUGUAGCAUAGGCGGGAGGCUUCGAAGCAUGGGCGCCAGCCCGUGUGGAGCCGCAAGGUGAAAUACCGCUCUGUUCUCGUUUGACGUCUCACCUCGAACAGUCAUCCUGUUCAGGGACAGUGCCUGGCGGGUAGUUUAACUGGGGCGGUUGCCUCCCAAAGAGUAACGGAGGCGCUCAAAGGUCCGCUCAGCCCGGUUGGCAAUCGGGUUUCGAGUGUAAUCGCACAAGCGGGCUUGACUGCGAGAACGACGGUUCGGGCAGGGACGAAAGUCGGAGAUAGUGAUCCGGUGCCGGCGCACGGGCGCGGCAUCGCUCAACGGAUAAAAGGUACCCCGGGGAUAACAGGCU